rnacentral:rRNA from 1 species
GACGAACGCUGGCGGCGUGCUUAACACAUGCAAGUCGAACGGAAAGGCCUUUUCGGAGGUACUCGAGUGGCGAACGGGUGAGUAACACGUGGGUGAUCUGCCCUGCACUCUGGGAUAAGCCUGGGAAACUGGGUCUAAUACCGGAUAGGACCGCACUUUAGUGUGUGUGGUGGAAAGUUUUUUCGGUGUAGGAUGAGCCCGCGGCCUAUCAGCUUGUUGGUGGGGUAAUGGCCUACCAAGGCGGCGACGGGUAGCCGGACUGAGAGGUUGGUCGGCCACAUUGGGACUGAGAUACGGCCCAGACUCCUACGGGAGGCAGCAGUGGGGAAUAUUGCACAAUGGGCGCAAGCCUGAUGCAGCGACGCCGCGUGGGGGAUGACGGCCUUCGGGUUGUAAACUCCUUUCGCCAGGGACGAAGCGUUUUGAGACGGUACCUGGAGAAGAAGCACCGGCUAACUACGUG